UCGCACUAGAUGGGGAGAUAGCGGUGCCCUGAUUCCUGAGGUAAACUCGGGAUGACCUGCAAUCCGCUACAGCAGGAUUGAAUUCCUUCUUGAGGUCAAUGUGUCUUUUGGAAGGGUGUUGGAUAAGUGGCGAUGAAGGCUGGAUCCCAUGCGGCAAAAGUUUGCAAACCCCGUUAGGCCUGGAAGGGAGCAGCGGUAAGUAAAUAUUUUUGGGUGUUAUGGGAAUAUCUGGCUGGAGCUGGCUGUUGAAUAACUAGCUAAAAGGCAGGAUCAAAGGAUGGUGUGCGG
rnacentral:SRP_RNA from 1 species